rnacentral:rRNA from 1 species
AGAACGAACGCUGGCGGCAGGCUUAACACAUGCAAGUCGAACGGUUGUAGCAAUACAGCAGUGGCAGACGGGUGAGUAACACGUGGGAACCUUCCUAGGGGUACGGAACAACUCAGGGAAACUUGAGCUAAUACCGUAUACGUCCGUGAGGAGAAAGAUUUAUCGCCCCUAGACGGGCCCGCGUAGGAUUAGGUAGUUGGUGAGGUAACGGCUCACCAAGCCUACGAUCCUUAGCUGAUCUGAGAGGAUGAUCAGCCACACUGGGACUGAGACACGGCCCAGACCUCCGUACGGGAGGCAGCAGGUGGGGGAAC